UCCUUGCCAGAUAGCAUGGAGGACUCUAGU
rnacentral:piRNA from 1 species